UAGCCUGCUGGCCAUAGUCUACAGACCCAUGCUAUAAUACACGAGUAACUGGUGUGAGUAACUACACACAGACAGAAAAGCACCCAGUGAACAGUGCCUUCAUUUCUCGAAUUUCCUGCUUUCUGUCAACAUGCAUCACACAGUUACAUGCUCUUCCUGUGGUUGCAAUCAGUUUAUCUUUGCAUUCUGCUGUUUUAAAAUUUAACGCCCAUUUCUGUGGAUUGGCAUAGCCCACAUUCUUGUGAAUCACCCACAGUGAUUCCUGCAGUGUUGUCCCCAGCCUCAAGCCUCUCUGCACCGUAAUUGUGCUUCUUUUCCUCAGAUACCUGCCUUGCAUUGGCCCUGGGUAAAUGUUUCCCUUGGCUGUGAAUAGGCAAUUAAAAUUCUGAACCUUUUAUGGCUCUGGAAGCUUAUCCGAUGAAACAAUACUCAUCCAGGCGGAUGGCCCACCAGCGCAAAGGGCUGAGGCCGCUGUAAGCCAAGGUACGCAACGCUUGCUAAACAGGAAUCCCUGGAAUGAAUCCAUGCAUGAGGCCUUUGUGCCAUGUGACAGUUGAAGGCUGUGGUGACCCCGGAACCGUCCCACUCCGAGACGCCUUAACACCGUUUUUCUGCUGUUACAAACCACAGAGCAACGCGUGUGCCUCCUCCCGCCCUGGGGACUCUUUCUGUGGGAGAGGUGCCUGGAUUUAGAGGAGCGACCACUCUUCAUUUGUAGGUACUCUCCCUAGCCUGGGAGCCCUUCAGCUCCCACUCCAGAGUGGUUGUUGGUGGUAAUACGCCAGGCCUGGGGAAGCAGGAGUGGGAAGGUGUGAGAGGUGGGGGAGUGUGGUUGUCAACUGUUCUGAUUUUCCACCAGGAUCUUGGUCACUUUCCCAGUUGUCACUCGGCCCACAAACUAGGAUGUGAGCAGCAUAUUAAGAAUCUGCAGAGAUGUUCCCGUCUGCCCGGCAUAUGGAUGUCCUUCUGGGCUGCAAAGUGGCAUCCUGUGGGCAACUCCCCCCACAACAACCAGCUGUUCUUUGUUCUGCGGGUGAGUCACCCAGGUCCUGCCCUCCGUGCCUGUCUGCCCUCUCCCACUUUCCCUGCCCUGAGCUUGUUCCCACUUGUAGAUUUGGCAGGUCACUGCCAAGGCCCCUAUUCCCCCAACAUGGCCAGUGCCCUAAGGGUGGGUUGUACAGGGAGGAGCUGGCGUGGUCAGUAGACUUGAAUCAGGGACAACUCGGCUGCUGAAGGCUGAGGGGGCCUUGCAGGGCUGCAGGUGCCUUGUGCACACAGGGAGUGGGUAGAGAAGGCAACCAGGGGCUCCUUCAGGCCUUAAUGCUCUGCAGCCCAGUGAGGCUGUGCCCAGAGAGUCUGGCGAGGCCCUGGUCUGCUCCCCCAGCCAAUGGCCUGAUGCUGUUCCAUCUGGGCACCCUGUCACUUUUCGUUCAUCAGGGAGUACAGGGUGAUUCAGGGUCUCAAAUGCAGGUGUUCACAAAAUGAAAUAGAACUUCCCUCUAUCCCCGUGCUUCUUUUUAUUUUUAUAACAAAUAUACAUCGUUAUAUUUUAUUUUUAUAUUUAUGUAUUUUAUAUAUAUGUG
rnacentral:lncRNA from 1 species